GACGAACGCUGGCGGCGUGCUUAACACAUGCAAGUCGAACGAAGAGCGUUGGAAGCUUGCUUCUAUCAAUCUUAGUGGCGAACGGGUGAGUAACGCGUAAUCAACCUGCCCUUCAGAGGGGGACAACAGUUGGAAACGACUGCUAAUACCGCAUACGAUCUAACCUCGGCAUCGAGGAUAGAUGAAAGGUGGCCUCUAUUUAUAAGCUAUCACUGAAGGAGGGGAUUGCGUCUGAUUAGCUAGUUGGAUGGGUAACGGCCCACCAAGGCGAUGAUCAGUAGCCGGUCUGAGAGGAUGAACGGCCACAUUGGGACUGAGACACGGCCCAGACUCCUACGGGAGGCAGCAGUGGGGAAUCUUCCGCAAUGGACGAAAGUCUGACGGAGCAACGCCGCGUGAGUGAUGACGGCCUUCGGGUUGUAAAGCUCUGUUAAUCGGGACGAAAGGCCUUCUUGCGAAUAGUUAGAAGGAUUGACGGUACCGGAAUAGAAAGCCACGGCUAACUACGUGCCAGCAGCCGCGGUAAUACGUAGGUGGCAAGCGUUGUCCGGAAUUAUUGGGCGUAAAGCGCGCGCAGGCGGAUUGGUCAGUCUGUCUUAAAAGUUCGGGGCUUAACCCCGUGAUGGGAUGGAAACUGCCAAUCUAGAGUAUCGGAGAGGAAAGUGGAAUUCCUAGUGUAGCGGUGAAAUGCGUAGAUAUUAGGAAGAACACCAGUGGCGAAGGCGACCUUCUGGACGAAAACUGACGCUGAGGCGCGAAAGCCAGGGGAGCG
rnacentral:rRNA from 1 species